CUCUAACUUGCAUGAUUUGAAUGGAACUAACCCGGACUGACGUUGUUUUUAGCAGAAUUACCAUGGUGUUAUUUUUGUGCAGAAAUAAAAGUUCUUGGAAUGACCCAAAACUUCACGGAGGCACGUUUUGGAAUUAAUUUAAACAAAUAAUGAGGCUGGACAACUCGCUCCUAGGGAGCUCCCUCGAUUUCAACCUAUGUUGGCCGUUCGAUCAAGCUCUUUCUGGUCAACCGUUUCCUUUUGGCCAUUCGAUUGCUUUCUGUUCGCUGACUCCAGUUUCACCCCGUUGUUAAUUUUUUCCACGUCCAUGACUGGUGAGCUCUUGUGGCCGCGGUAUUGGCUGGGUGAAUCCCCGACGGGUGAGAAAGAGCCUAUCCUCGCGCACCACGCGUUCGAUCCGCGGCUCGCGUCGUGCGUCCGGGGAAGCCGCGGAGGGUGGUUGGACAACGCAUGCGCACCCGCUUUGGGCAGUCUCCACGCGCUGACAGAUGGUCCCGUGCUGCUUCUGGCCCCGCUCAUCAGCUGCCGUGGAUACGCUCCUCACGGGAUGGGUUGUCGGGCAGGUCGUGCAGCGUGCGUCACGGAGGAGCCGCGGUGCGUCGUCCGUCUUGGAGGGCCCGCGCAGGAUGGGCAUGCGCAUGUUCACCCGACUUGUACACACCCCUGCCGCUGCUGCAGUGACAUGUGGUCCCGUACUGCUGCUGAUCCCACCCAUCGGUUGCAGCGGCUCCACUGCGUGGUCUCGUGGCGUCCCGUCUGGGAUUUCCUGGUCGUGCGCAUCGUGGACUGGCCCAUGCAUGCCUGUCGCCUGCAUCGUGUCUCGCGUCUGGAGACGGGUGUCCGCUCUGCCCACGCGGCGUCGCAUCCAACUCGUAUUGUCCGCUUUCUUUUUUUAAGUCAUUUGUGAUCGAUAUUCCGCGUUUCUCCCUCUGUCCGGUGGCCCCUGUCCCAUUCUGGUCCCGCGCGUCAGCGUCAUCUGCCACGCGUCGGCGCCGUCCACUUUGAAAGGCGCGGGCUUCUCCUUGGGUGGAGCCAUUUGCAGGAGGUGUCGUUCAGUGGGCGCCGUGUGAUUUGCACAUCAUAGUCUUCGAUUGGUGGGUGGGAUGGACUGACGAAUGUACACCCGCCCUUACCUCUUCCCACUAUGACGGGUGGCCCAGAUUAGCGGCUAGUCCCAUGAGUCGGUGGGUUACUUAUUGAUUGGGUCACCUAGGGAACGUGCCAGAGCGGUUUGGGCCAAUGUGCCUGUCCCGCGCCGUGCGCGACGUGCGUGCUGCGUCUGCGCUGAUGGGUAAUUGGUUUGCUGCCAAAAAUUGGCAUGCCAAUGUUUAGCAUUGUGCCAAAUAUUGGUAACUACUUGGUUGGCUACGAAUUAUUUUGCCUAUCUCACAUAAAGUUGCCAAUAGUUGGUAAAUUUUGGUAUUGCCAAUAUUUGGCAAUGCCAAAUAUUGGUAACAAACCGAUUAUGCUCGAAAACCUAGGUUUGACGAGAGAUUUCCGCGCCGCCACCUGAACUCCCUCGGACGCGCGCUCCUCUCCUCUCCCCAAUCUCCAUCUCCAUCUCCAUCCUCGUCAGCGACGAAACCCACCACCUCCUUCUUCUCUGCCGUGACCCUCUGUUCUCUUCUCCUCCCGAAUCUCUCUCAUGUCGUUGUGCUAGCACCGAGCACCGCGUCAGCCCAACCCUCUCUGCUGCGCAGGAGGCAGGAGGACGAACAACGGCGGUCCGAGCUCCGCUGCCUCCAUCCCUGUCUCGUCCUCCUCUUGUGCGCCGGCCGACCGGAGGCUGCCUCCCUGGUUCCCCCUGAUCUGCGCGGUUGGACCUUCAUAGCGCUGUUCAACCACAUCCACAUGGUGGUAUGUGCGAGCGAUGACGCCGGUGGCCUGUGGCCAGAUAUGGAGGCUUAGCUAAUGCAGCGGCAUGGCAACUUAGAUGCGAGCACUAGCUGUCUGUAUAAAUGCACAAGGAGGAGUGCUUAGGGGAGGACGAUAGUUGUUUGUAUAAAUGCACAAGGAGGAGUGCUUAGGGGAGGGCGAUAGCUUUCAGGUGUACAUGGAGGAGGUGAAGGCGACUACAGAGGAGCUUGCCGUAGCUGCUCACCUUCUUCUUUCAGCCCAUCUCAAGAAUUAUAGUGCAGUUUUUGUGGAGAGCCCAUGUUGGUUUGCUUGAUUUAUGUUCAAAAUGGACAAUACAAUGCUCUUUGAGUCAAGUUUGUAUAUAUUCCGAGUACUCCUUUAUUAUUUAUCAACUGAGGCAUGAUUGUUGUUGCACUUCUUACUAAAAAUAA